rnacentral:rRNA from 1 species
GAUCGAGUUUGAUCCUGGCUCAGAUUGAACGCUGGCGGAAUGCUUUACACAUGCAAGUCGAACGGUAGAGGGGGCAACCCCUUGAGAGUGGCGAACGGGUGAGUAAUAUAUCGGAACGUGCCCAGUCGUGGGGGAUAACGUAGUGAAAUUACGCUAAUACCGCAUACGAUCUAAGGAUGAAAGCGGGGAUCGCAAGACCUCGCGCGAUUGGAGCGGCCGAUAUCAGAUUAGGUAGUUGGUAGGGUAAAGGCCUACCAAG